GAAGCGGGAACCCCGCACCGCACGAGCGGGCAAGACGGGGACCGCCGCCCGGAGACAGGCGGCUGCG
rnacentral:sRNA from 1 species